AACGAACGCUGGCGGCAGGCUUAACACAUGCAAGUCGAACGCCCCGCAAGGGGAGUGGCAGACGGGUGAGUAACGCGUGGGAAUCUACCCAGAUCUUCGGAACAAUUGAGGGAAACUUCAGCUAAUACCGGAUACGCCCUACGGGGGAAAGAUUUAUCGGUUCUGGAUGAGCCCGCGUUGGAAUAGCUAGUUGGUGAGGUAAAGGCUCACCAAGGCGACGAUCCAUAGCUGGUCUGAGAGGAUGAUCAGCCACACUGGGACUGAGACACGGCCCAGACUCCUACGGGAGGCAGCAGUGGGGAAUAUUGGACAAUGGGCGAAAGCCUGAUCCAGCCAUGCCGCGUGAGUGAUGAAGGCCUUAGGGUUGUAAAGCUCUUUCAGUAGGGAAGAUAAUGACGGUACCUACAGAAGAAGCCCCGGCUAACUUCGUGCCAGCCGCCGCAGUAAUAC
rnacentral:rRNA from 1 species